rnacentral:snoRNA from 1 species
ACGACCCUGAAUUAAGGCCUGCAGUUUUCUGAAGCUGUUACUUCAAGCAGGAGCCUAAAGUUAUAUGAUCUGUUGGCCAUUUCAGAACUUCAGAAAUGCAAAUCAGCUCAUCAGAAGGUAACCAUC